UGCAAAGCUAGCAGCAGAGAUUGUGGUUCCAUACGCGGAUUUAGAUGCAUCCCAUACACUACCUCGAUCAGAAUCAAUUCCAACAAAGCUAUAGCCCAUUGUAAGGUUUGUAGCCUCUAUAGCGAGCUUCUGGUCUAGUGGCGGCUUACCUUGAAGUUACAUAUACUGCUCCAGAUGCCAAUGGACUCGUCGAUCAACCAGUGGAGGGAAUAGAAGCAUAGGUAUAGGCAAAGGUGGGAGGGAUGGGAGAGCAAGCUGGCGUUUGGGCAAAGGCAAGAACAUUCGAGCAAAGCAAGCCCUAGAAAUCAGCGGGGUAUGAAUUUGUCUCCUUCGGUAUAGGCUGUCCUGGCUCGUUAGGUCCCAAUAAUCCAAAGGAUACAAGCUUCUUAAGGCCGAGUCGGAAAUCAUUGUUUGUAUAGUCUCUUUCAGUUCAGAUCUUGAAUCAUUUGGCAAAAUUUG
rnacentral:lncRNA from 1 species